rnacentral:rRNA from 1 species
UACUUCGGUAUGGAUGACGACCGGCGCACGGGUGAGUAACGCGUACAUAACCUACCUUCAAGAGGGGGAUAGCCCUGGGAAACUGGGAGUAAACCGCCAUGUGGUUACGAAUUUAAAAGAGAUCGUAAUUAAAACUUAGGUGCUUGAAGAUGGGUGUGCGUUCCAUUAGUUAGUUGGUGAGGUAACGGCUCACCAAGACGACGAUGGGUAGGGGGCGUGAGAGCGUGAUCCCCCACACGGGUACUGAGACACGGACCCG